CCCUCCUGGUCCUUCUGCCUUAGCCACAGGUUCUGAAACCAAAGCAAAACCAUCAGAGAGUGAUUCAUGUGGGGACUAGGUAACCCAAUAAAAUCUCCCCUUAGGUGGGGUGUGUUGGCUCACGCUGUAGCCUGUAAUCCCAGCAUUUUGGGAGGCUGAGGCGGGUGGAUUAUCUGAGGUCAGGAGUUUGAGACCAACCUGACCAACAAGGUGAAGCCCCGUGUCUACUAAAAAUAGAAAAAUUAGCCAGGCGUGGUGGCAGGUGCCUGUAGUCCCAGCUGCUCGGGAGGCUGAGACAGGAGAAUUGCUUGAACCUGGGAGGCAGAGGUUGCAAUGAGCUGAGAUCGUGCCACCACACUCCAGCCUGGGCAACAGAGCGAGACUCUGUAUGAAAAAAAAAAAAAAACUACCCCUUAACGGUGGUUGGUCAGACAGCCAACUUGAAUUGCUGUCUUUUUCCCAAACCCAGAUGCCCGGGCUGAGGCACCAGUUAAAACUUUUAUCUUAGGGAAGCUCUGGGAGUUGCCUCUUGCAGGUCAGGGGUUGCAAAGGGCAGAGGCUCCAGCAUACCAUCUUCUUGAGCAUUUCCUGUUCAGAUUUCUGUGGGAUUAAUGGUUCCUCCACCUUGUACCUCCCAGGGAGGCUCCCUGAGCUCUGCUUUAUAUAAGAUUUUCAGGUUCUGAACACAAGCCCAGUUUCUGCUUCUGAUGAUCAUUUUC